AGCUCUUCACUCGGUAGCUCUG
rnacentral:miRNA from 1 species